CUACUUUUAUAUGCGUAAUCAGGUGCAUAUCCUUACUCAACAUUGACAGGACCACACCAAACAAAAGACAAUGAAGAAAUUGACGAAACUCAAUGGCUAGACGCUGUGUUGCGGACUGCACAUUUUGUUAACAAAAGAAACAAGUACAGGACAAUGACCCAAUAGGCCUCCAUGCUGUGUAAUAGCUAGUCGACCAAGAAGGAGAGUGAUGGAGUGCUGCAUCAGACGACCUGGCCUCCACAAUCACCUGACCUCCAAAAAGUGCUCAGCA